CUGGAUUAUCUUGGCUGUCCCCUGAAGCUAAGCAGGCUCAGGCCUGAUUAAUAACUGUAUGGGCGCCCACCAGGGAGUCUUAGGCUACAAGCCAGU
rnacentral:rRNA from 1 species